AUCCCACAAUAAAGCCCCUCUCCUGUUGCUCUCCUGCCAGUGUGAUUAGCAAUGGAGGUCUUUGACCCAGGCAGUCACCGCUCUCAAGGAACAAGUGUCCAUGAAGAAGCAGCCUGAGCUGUUAGGCAUCUGCCUUUGCUCAAGACAUCCUCUGCCUACCCUGGCAGUUACCCUGGAUGGUUUUGCUGUCGUGAUUAAAACACAGAUGGAGCUCAUCCCUUCCCUGGGUGUUUGAUUGGCAGACUCUCUGUGAUCAGCACUCUUCUCUGUUGAACACAUCAGCGCCAUCUGCCUUCUGUCUGCCUGGAGAGACUUGCCACAGUAGAGCUUCCUCAGCCUCCCAUGAACCGGUGCAAAGGAUGUGCGUUCCUUUUGCUGAAGCCGUCAAAUAAAAAAGCUUUUUCAUGAAAAGCUAAAUAGAAUACGUGAAGAUUUUCAUGACAGUAGGCUUCCAGAUUAAUGAAAUAUUCAUUUAAAUUUGACUUGGAGGAUAUGUCGCUUCUUUUCUUUGAUUAAAAUAUUUAGAGCAUAACACAAAAUCACUGUGUCUUGAAAAAGCCAAACUUCAAGGAAAUUCAGCUGAUGGGGCAUCUUGUUUUCAGUGAGGUUGUUAAAGAUGAUUUUUCCAACCAGGGUCAGGUGCUUGGAACCGUUAGGUGAAUGCUAGGCGUGGUGGCAGUCCUCUUGUGUGCUUAAGAGUUUAAGAGAUUGAACCCAAUAGAUAGUAAGCUUCUUUCAAAGAGAAUGCUAAUUUUAAUGUUUUUAUGACUUAAAUAGAUUGUAAUAAGUUAUUACUUCCUAAUUUAGAUGUUGGUAUGACGACUGGGCAGACACAUGUUCUUGUUCCACAUCAACAUUGUAUGACUGCAGAGAGUAGCCUGAGUGCUUAGAAAAGGGUACUUUUACGAUAUUGGAAGACUGGACAUCGUGACAUUAGGAGGAGGAAGGGGGUUAUUGGGCUGUUCUAAAAUUAGCAAUGUGAAGAGCUGGUUCAAACUUAAUUGCCUAGGUGUGGAAGAAAUAUACUUGUAUUGUGCUUAAUAAUGUGAAUUAUCUGUAUCAUUAAAUAACAGGAAACCCGUUUGAGUUUCUUCUUCCUGUCCAAAUAAAUAAAUAAAUAUAAUUAAC
rnacentral:lncRNA from 1 species